UACGUAGGGUGCGAGCGUUGUCCGGAAUUACUGGGCGUAAAGAGCUCGUAGGUGGUUUGUCGCGUUGUUCGUGAAAACCGGGGGCUUAACCCUCGGCGUGCGGGCGAUACGGGCAGACUUGAGUACUGCAGGGGAGACUGGAAUUCCUGGUGUAGCGGUGGAAUGCGCAGAUAUCAGGAGGAACACCGGUGGCGAAGGCGGCUUCCUGGACAAAAACUGACGCUGAGGCGCGAAAGCUAGGGGAGCAAACAGG
rnacentral:rRNA from 1 species